GCCUGCCAUGUGUCAAUAUGAGAGUUAUUUUUCUAAUAUAUAAAAGUUUGCAUUUGUAAUUUAUAAUCUAUUAUUUUUCAAACAUUUUGUUAUUCAAAUAUAUAAAUGUUUUUUUUGUGUUCCUCCACAACCUUUUUUAUUUUUUUUCAUUUAUAAUUUAUAAGUUAUUAUUUUUCUAAAAUUUUGUUAUGUAAAUAUGUAAACCGUUUUUUUUGCAAUCGCUUGCCAUGUGUCAUUUAUUUGAAAAUAUUUUAUCAAUUAAACAAUAAUUUAUUAUUUAAUCUUAUUAUAUAUAAUUAAUUUUAUUUAUUUAGAAAUUCCUUUUUUAGGAUGCUGACAUGUGGCGUUUUUCACCUCUCCUAUUAUAAAUAUAUAGUUUUUGUCAUUAGUAUAAUUUUGUUUGUAUGUUAUUUUUUAAAGAAAAGUAGAAUUCAUUAUUGAAUAAAGUUAAUGACUUACGUUAGAAAAUCAUAUUUGUAUUUAGGUUUAAUAUUUAAUUUUGUUAAGGUUGUUAGUUAAUUUGUUUUAUUAAAAUUUUAGUCGAAUUGACAAAACGAACUCAAUUUUUGCUAUUUCGUUAUUACAAAUAUCCAACCCAUCAAAAAGACCAAAAUUGUGCCCAACCCCACCGAUCCAAUUCCUGUAAAACCAUUCAACUCUAAGUCUAACAUUCUUUACACAACGUCUAUACACUAACACUACAAAUCGAUAAUUCCAACGUUGAAAGAGGAGACUCUGGCGUUUGCCACUUCCAACGUUCAUUAAUGCCGUCAACGGCAUUCCAGUCGCUUCAUCUUCCUUCCUUCUUCACCUCGUACGAAAGGUGUUCGAUUAGACCCGUCCACCUCCACUCCGAUUUGGAAUCCAUUGGUUAGUCACUUUUGGGUCUCUUUGGAAUUCUCAGCUUAUGGUAGAAUAUGCAACAACGCUGUUUCUAGAAAGGCUAUGGAUGCAGGAUUAGUGCUCAGUUUUCUAACAGGUUCCUUGACAUUCUUCAAGCACGUUGCUGCGCCUACGAAGUACUUUAGCAUUGUUGUCAGUUUUGGGCUUUUGAAAUUCUGGGCUACUGAGAUUUGUUGGGAGUUACAGGACUUCAACCUCAAUAAAUUUAAGGGGAUUGAAGAUGAGUUCAUUAUCAACGUAUCAUUGUUCCAGAAAUGGGCACUAGUGCAGUAUGGAGAAGUCUAGUAUUUAAGAAGGAGAAUUUCAUUAAAUGCUCCCACUGAUGUCUGCCAAGUCUUCCUUCAGGAUUUUAAAUCUUCCGUUCGUUCUGGUUAAAGAGGCAUUUUUUAAGGAUGGUGAGAAGGAAUCUCGUAGAAUCUUGUGUAAAAGCAUUGAACUUCUGUGCUUCUGAGAGUCGUGGGGAGUUGCAGCUUGGUUCACUCAUCUCCUGAUAGUGCCUUCUAUGUUCUCUUUUGGUUAAUUGAGUAGCUUUAGGGUACUCAUCAGAUAUAUGCAAAGGAAGCAGCUUCCAGACUUGGUAAACUGAUGAUGGAUGCCCUUAUUUCCAUGCGUAUGGAAUCAAGAAGAUCCUAUGGACCUGAAGAGUCUGGUUGCCCUCAAUGGAUCAGAUUGGAUAAGCUUGAACUAGGCAAUGAAAGGACGGAGUGGUUGGCUUUCAUACGGGAUGGUGAUGCUAAUUAUUCACUGCUUGUAAACUUGAAAAUGUUGGAUGAUCUUCAAUUAUCGAGGAAAUUUCCAUCGAAAGCUGGCAUAAUAAUCUUGCACAGACUGCCUCCGAGGCUUAGCUCGAGUGGAAGAAGGUGGUGUCACAGGUUCGAUCCCCACACCAUGCAAAGUGAAGCCCGGAAUUUUAGUGGAGAGGGGUAGAGGGCGGGCCCAUUAUUUACCAAGAUUAGAAGGCUAUGAUUCGUCCAAAGGGAGGGUCACAUGCAGAUUUCUAAGUUAUAAAAAAGAUCUUGGAGAUACUUUCGAGAACUGCAGAAGUAUUGAUGACAGGGUGCAGGCAUAGGUGUACGUUAGAUCGUAUGGUACAACGUUACAGCUAUCUUGACGUGGAGAUUUCAUCCGUACUUGGGUUGUAGUAAACCAUGGUUUCAAGUAUGCGGGGAUAAGGAUUACUUGUGAGAUAGUAAGCAUGUUUGGUUGGUUGACAUGACUUGCGUGACUUUGCAUUAAGUUCCUGUAAGGGUUCCAUCGUUGAAGAAUUUCUAAGGCGGCAUUGUUGAAGGCUUGGAUUCUUCCUUUCAUCAAAGUGAGGAAUCAUGAAUUCUAGAAGAAAUACGGCUCGAAGACUUGAGGAGGAAGUUGCUAAUGCGGGAGCUCCUCCCUAUGGUCACCAAGUUCCUCCUCUUGAGGAAAAUGCUAAUGUUGACCAAGCCCCGGCUAACCCUCUACCCACGGAGGCGGGGAUGAGGGGUAUUGUUGCUCAAAUGGCCCAAGCCAUUACUACUCAAGCACAAGCUGUGACGGUUCAUGCCUAAGCUAUGACAGCCCAAGCCAAUCGAGAGAUUGUUCCCCGUCCUCAUCAACAAGUCCCUACUAUGGCUUCCUGUCUAAGGGACUUCACUCGAAUGAAUCCUCCUACAUUCUAUAGGUCUAAGGUUGAUGAAUACCCCAAGAAUUCAUCGAUGAGGUCUAUAUGAUACUAUAUGCUAUGGGAGUGUCUUAAAGUGAGAAGUCCGAGUUGGACACAUACCAACUCAAAAAUGUGGCUCAAACUUGGUAUAAAUGGAGGGAUAAUAGGCCUUUGAGUGGUGGUUCAGUGACUUGGGAUAUCUUUAAGGUUGGUUUUCUAGAGCAGUUCUUCCCUAGGGAUAUGAAGGAGGAAAAAGUGGUGGAGUUCAUCAAUCUUCGCCAAGGAGGACGGAGUAUCCAUGAGUAUCCUUUGGAAUUCAUUAAGUUGUCCAAAUGUGUUCCUUCUCUGGUCUCCAAUCCUAGAGACCAAAUGAGUCGCUUUAUUCCGAGGGUGUUGAAGGACUUACAAGAGCAGUACCAAUCGGCCAUGCUACAUGACAACAUGAACAUUUCCCGUCUUAUGGUGCAUGCAAGAAGGAUUGAGGAGGCAAGGGCUAAGCGAAAAAGUAGAGAUGCUAAGAGAGAAAGGUCAUAUGAUGGUUGUUCUUCAAAGAAUAAGCUUGAAAUAAAAGACAAGCCUAGAUUAGAAGCGGGUUUCUAAUCAAGUCCUUUCUACAUUUCCAAAACCUGUGGGUGAUAGGGUGUCUAACCCUAAAUUCAAGAGGGGAAAAGGUACUAAUUCACCAAAUGAGAAGCCUACUUGUAACAAGUGUGGGAAGGGCUAUCUUGGUGAGUGCUUGGUAGGAACGGGGAUUAACUUUAGUUGUGGAAAGAGUGGUCACAAGAUGAGAGGUUUUCCUAACUUGAAAAGUCAAGACAAGGGUAUUUUUCAAGCUCAAUCAAGUGGUUCUAGUGAUGAUCCAAAGAAGAACCGCUUCUAUACUCUUCGCCCUAGGGGUGAGCAA